UGGGCGUAAGCGCACGCAGGCGGUCUGUCAAGUCGGAUGUGAAAUCCCCGGGCUCAACCUGGGAACUGCAUUCGAAACUGGCAGGCUAGAGUCUUGUAGAGGGGGGUAGAAUUCCAGGUGUAGCGGUGAAAUGCGUAGAGAUCUGGAGGAAUACCGGUGGCGAAGGCGGCCCCCUGGACAAAGACUGACGCUCAGGUGCGAAAGCGUGGGGAGCAAACAGGAUUAGAUACCCUGGUAGUCCACGCCGUAAACGAUGUCGACUUGGAGGUUGUGCCCUUGAGGCGUGGCUUCCGGAGCUAACGCGUUAAGUCGACCGCCUGGGGAGUACGGCCGCAAGGUUAAAACUCAAAUGAAUUGACGGGGGCCCGCACAAGCGGUGGAGCAUGUGGUUUAAUUCGAUGCAACGCGAAGAACCUUACCUACUCUUGACAUCCAGAGAACUUUCCAGAGAUGGAUUGGUGCCUUCGGGAACUCUGAGACAGGUGCUGCAUGGCUGUCGUCAGCUCGUGUUGUGAAAUGUUGGGUUAAGUCCCGCAACGAGCGCAACCCUUAUCCUUUG
rnacentral:rRNA from 1 species